rnacentral:rRNA from 1 species
CGCAAUGGGCGAAAGCCUGACGGAGCAAUACCGCGUGAAGGAUGAAGGCCUAUGGGUCGUAAACUUCUUUUCUCAGAGAAGAAUUUUGACGGUAUCUGAGGAAUAAGCAUCGGCUAACUCUGUGCCAGCAGCCGCGGUAAGACAGAGGAUGCAAGCGUUAUCCGGAAUGAUUGGGCGUAAAGCGUCUGUAGGUGGUUUACCAAGUCUUCUGUCAAAGAUCAGGGCUUAACUCUGGGCAGGCAGGAGAAACUAUUAGACUAGAGUUCGGUAGGGGCAGAGGGAAUUCCCGGUGGAGCGGUGAAAUGCGUAGAUAUCGGGAGGAAAUCCACUCA